rnacentral:miRNA from 1 species
GGGAAGGCAAGAAGUCGGCAUAGCUGUUUGAAAAUGAUAUACGGCUGUGUCACUUCGAGCCAGCUCAAUCCACCGGCUUUCUGCAUAAAGAAGAUUUGCGGACGCUGCCGUAACGUGAAAAUUCGGAUCGCUCCCGUAGCGGCGCGACUCCGGCCGGGAGAGGGCGCAUUGACAGCUGUCACUGGGCACUAUUUCGCUUUCUUCGCGGCCGGACGUGGGAGGAAAUCGUUUAUUUUUAUCACACACGACGAUGUUCCCGUAGAGUGCGACCGGCUGUGUACGUGCGUGACGAAACGAUCGAAAACAAGACGACAAAAUGCCGAACGAGGAGGUGUUGGGUCCGCGGAAGACGAUGUUCGUACUAGUGAUUGUUGUGGGAUGUUUCGCGGUGCUGUGGCCCAGGAUUCUGUCGCCGCUGAUCUUGGGCCACUCGCGGGACCAGCUCAAACCGAACGCGUUCGACCGGGAGGCAGCUGUAAAACAAGAGCGUCCUCUGAACCGCGGCGCAGGGCCGCAUCCAGCACUGCGAGAGCGGGGCCGCGCGAUUCCUCAGGGCGUGGCCCCCGCGAGACCCGCGACACCGAUGCCGCCCCACGUUCGGGUACGAUCCUCCCCGCUAUCAGUGUACUAUGAGCUGGACAUCAAGCCACCACCGAUCCCGGGCAUGCGGCCCCCGCUCGGCUCGCCCGGGGGUCCGGUGCCCACGCCCAAGUCGUCCAUGGGGUUCGUCAUGCCGAUCUACACGAUAUGCAUCAUAGUGUUCUUCGUGUACACACUUAGCAAGAUCCUGUUCAAGCGCACCGCGUCCCCCUACGAGCCUGUUAGUCCCGACCCCCACUUCAGGAGCAGGGUGUUCCGCGACGACUCCAGGACGUCGCCCGACAAGCUCGGGGAUGUUGAACUGGAGGCGCUGCGAGCGCGGCUUGCGGAGACUGAGCGCGCCAUGCAAAGGAUCGUCGGCCAACUGGCUCAGCGCGACGCGGAGGCCCAGGAUGAGCAGGCUCGCCCGUACACGAACGGUACAAUACUUCACAACACCGGCCCGGUGCAUAUCGUCGCCAGCGAAUACCAGGAAGUAUCCAAGGAAAAGACUCCUGAACCUCAGAGGGAAGUGCCAGAACCUUCACCUGAAGUGAAGGAACCUGCCCCUGAACCUGAAAAGCCUCUGUCAAAAGAAUCUUUAGAGACGAAAGAGUCUGAGGAAUUAGAGGCUGAAAAACAAGAAGAAUUGGUUCAAGAAAUACCUGCAACACAAUCUGAAGAAGCAGAGACGGACGAUGUUAAAGAAGAGAAGGGUCCAGAAGAAAAUGACUUAAAACUCGUUGCUGACGAUGAAGUGGACGAAAAUGGUGGCGAAGCUAAAUUCGAUAAAGAAGAAUCGGGUUCAGAGCCAGAGUUAAUAGAAAUUAAUAAUAAAGAGGAUGAACUGAUUAAAUUAACAAACGAUGACGUAGAAAGCGAUGACUACGUCAAAGUGGUACAGGAUUUCUUGAACGAGGAAGCUAAAAUAGACGUGAAAGAAGAGAAACAAUCGACUCCGGAUCUCCUGGAAGUAGCUAUUAAAGAGGACUCGCCUGAUAAACCUGAGGAUGACCAAGAAAAUGCUAGUGUAAAGGUGGUAGGCAUGGAGGUGACGGCGCACACGGCGGACGGCGGCGCGCUGCCCCGCGCUCCCCCGCCGCCCGCGCCCGCGCCUGCGCCCCAGCGCCCGCACGAGGCGGAGGAAGUGAAGUCGAUAUUCCUGGAGACGGAGAUUCCGCAGAAGUCUCGGGUCCUCGUCGCGGACUUCGUCGAAGACAGGCCCGAAGACUCCGCGCCCAGUAACAAUUCCCCAAUGGUGGUGAGCGGUAAAAUGACUUUGUCACUCAUACAGGACGCACCGAGAGACACUCCUGAGAAGGAUCCAGAAUCAACAGUGGAUGAUUUCACAACAGCCAGUGCAAUCACUCAACCCGCCGCUGAUAAACAAGUUGAAGAAGAGUCCGACGAAGAAAUAGAGAUCGAAGAAGAAAUAGAAGUGGAAGAGAUCGAGGAAGAGGAAGAAGUUGAGGAGAUUGAGGAAGACGAAGAGAACGAACCGGUGGAGGCGAAGAAACCAGAAGCAAAGGAACCAGUCAAAGUGCAAGAAGUAAAGGAAGCUGUUAAAGUACAGGAAGAAGUAAAACAAGCAGAAGAAGAUUCCGAAGAGGAGGUAGAAGUAAAUGAAGAUGAGGAACCAAUACAAGAUUCGAAAUUUGAACCGGUUAAAGAACUAGAUGCCGAUAAAGAAGAAGAAUAUUCUGAGGAAGAAAUUGAGGAAAAUGAGGAACCAGUGAAAGAGUCAGUUAAGGUAAAGGAACCGGUGAAAUUAAAAGAGCCAGUUAAAGGAAAACCAUCUGUAGAACAUUCAGAAGAUGAUAAGGAACAGAAGAAAGCGAAAGGAGAUAAAGAAUGAACUGAUAGGAAUUAACUUGUAGUGAGAGAAUGUUUGGUGGUUCUGUAAAGAAAAAUAUUAAACAAGUAAAAUGGAUUCAAAUAAAAAU